AUGAAACCUAAAUGAUUUCUUCGGAAUGAACUUAAGUGGAUUAGUGGCGAACGGGUGAGUAACACGUGAGUAACCUGCCUUACACAAGGGGAUAGCCUCUGGAAACGGAGAAUAAUACCCUAUAAAGUCUAAUCAGCCCAUGCUGGAAAGACCAAAGAUUUAUCGGUGUAAGAUGGACUUGCGUCUGAUUAGCUAGUUGGUGAGAUAAAAGCUCACCAAGGCGACGAUCAGUAGCCGGCUUGAGAGAGUGUACGGCCACAUUGGGACUGAGACACGGCCCAAACUCCUACGGGAGGCAGCAGUGGGGAAUUUUGCACAAUGGGGGAAACCCUGAUGCAGCGACGCCGCGUGAUUUAGAAGGCCUUCGGGUUGUAAAAAUCUUUUUUACGGGAUGAAAAUGACAGUACCGUAAGAAUAAGGUCCGGCUAAAUACGUGCCAGCAGCCGCGGUAAUACGUAUGGACCGAGCGUUGUCCGGAAUCAUUGGGCGUAAAGGGUACGUAGGCGGCCUAGUAAGUUAGAAGUUAAAGAAUAUAGCUCAACUAUAUAAAGCUUUUAAAACUGCUAGGCUUGAGAGAUGGAAGGGAAAGUGGAAUUCCUAGUGUAGCGGUGAAAUGCGCAGAUAUUAGGAAGAAUACCGGUGGCGAAGGCGACUUUCUGGUCAUCAUCUGACGCUGAGGUACGAAAGCGUGGGUAGCAAACAGGAUUAGAUACCCUGGUAGUCCACGUUGUAAACGAUGAGUGUUAGGUUCUUGGAAUAAUCUGGGAGCCGCAGCUAACGCAUUAAACACUCCGCCUGGGGAGUACGCACGCAAGUGUG
rnacentral:rRNA from 1 species